GAUGAACGCUGGCGGCGUGCCUAAUACAUGCAAGUCGAACGAGUUCUCGUUGAUGAUCGGUGCUUGCACCGAGAUUCAACAUGGAACGAGUGGCGGACGGGUGAGUAACACGUGGGUAACCUGCCCUUAAGUGGGGGAUAACAUUUGGAAACAGAUGCUAAUACCGCAUAGAUCCAAGAACCGCAUGGUUCUUGGCUGAAAGAUGGCGUAAGCUAUCGCUUUUGGAUGGACCCGCGGCGUAUUAGCUAGUUGGUGAGGUAAUGGCUCACCAAGGCGAUGAUACGUAGCCGAACUGAGAGGUUGAUCGGCCACAUUGGGACUGAGACACGGCCCAAACUCCUACGGGAGGCAGCAGUAGGGAAUCUUCCACAAUGGACGCAAGUCUGAUGGAGCAACGCCGCGUGAGUGAAGAAGGCUUUCGGGUCGUAAAACUCUGUUGUUGGAGAAGAAUGGUCGGCAGAGUAACUGUUGUCGGCGUGACGGUAUCCAACCAGAAAGCCACGGCUAACUACGUGCCAGCAGCCGCGGUAAU
rnacentral:rRNA from 1 species